rnacentral:rRNA from 1 species
GACGAACGCUGGCGGCGUGCUUAACACAUGCAAGUCGAACGAUGAAACCUAGCUUGCUGGGUCGAUUAGUGGCGAACGGGUGAGUAACACGUGACUAACCUGCCCCUUUCUCCGGGAUAACGCUCCGAAAGGAGUGCUAAUACCGGAUACUCACACCGAGGCACAUGCCUUGGUGUGGAAAGUUUUUCGGAAAGGGAUGGAGUCACGGCCUAUCAGCUUGUUGGUGAGGUAACGGCUCACCAAGGCGACGACGGGUAGCCGGCCUGAGAGGGCGACCGGCCACACUGGGACUGAGACACGGCCCAGACUCCUACGGGAGGCAGCAGUGGGGAAUAUUGCACAAUGGGCGCAAGCCUGAUGCAGCGACGCCGCGUGAGGGAUGAAGGUCUUCGGAUUGUAAACCUCUUUCAGUAGGGACGAAGCGAAAGUGACGGUACCUAAAGAAGAAGCACCGGCUAACUACGUGCCAGCAGCCGCAGUAA